UGCAUCUAGAUUGCGGAUCCGCGGCCGCAGAGUUUGAUCCUGGCUCAGGACGAACGCUGGCGGCGUGCCUAACACAUGCAAGUCGAGCGGAGAAUGCAAGAUGUUUACAUUGAGCAUUCUUAGCGGCGGACGGGUGAGUAACACGUGGGUAACCUGCCUCAGAGUGGGGGAUAGCCUUUCGAAAGGAAGAUUAAUACCGCAUAAGCUUGUAGCAUCGCAUGGUGCAGCAAGAAAAGGAGCAAUCCGCUCUGAGAUGGACCCGCGGCGCAUUAGCUAGUUGGUGAGGUAACGGCUCACCAAGGCCACGAUGCGUAGCCGACCUGAGAGGGUGAUCGGCCACAUUGGAACUGAGAUACGGUCCAGACUCCUACGGGAGGCAGCAGUGGGGAAUAUUGCACAAUGGGCGAAAGCCUGAUGCAGCAACGCCGCGUGAGUGAUGAAGGCUUUCGAGUCGUAAAGCUCUUUGAUCAGGGAUGAUAAUGACAGUACCUGAAAAACAAGCCACGGCUAUCUACGUGCCAGCAGCCGCGGUAAUACGUAGGUGGCGAGCGUUGUCCGGAAUUACUGGGCGUAAAGGAUGCGUAGGUGGAUAUUUAAGUGGGAUGUGAAAUCCCCGGGCUCAACCCGGGAACUGCAUUCCAAACUGGAUAUCGAGAGUGCAGGAGAGGAAAGCGGAAUUCCUAGUGUAGCGGUGAAAUGCGUAGAUAUUACGAGGAACACCAGUGGCGAAGCGGCUUUCUGGACUGUAACUGACACUGAGGCAUGAAAGCGUGGGUAGCAAACAGGAUUAGAUACCCUGG
rnacentral:rRNA from 1 species